rnacentral:rRNA from 1 species
GAUGAACGCUGGCGGCGUGCCUAAUACAUGCAAGUCGAGCGAACGGACGAGAAGCUUGCUUCUCUGAUGUUAGCGGCGGACGGGUGAGUAACACGUGGAUAACCUACCUAUAAGACUGGGAUAACUUCGGGAAACCGGAGCUAAUACCGGAUAAUAUUUUGAACCGCAUGGUUCAAAAGUGAAAGACGGUCUUGCUGUCACUUAUAGAUGGAUCCGCGCCGCAUUAGCUAGUUGGUAAGGUAACGGCUUACCAAGGCAACGAUGCAUAGCCGACCUGAGAGGGUGAUCGGCCACACUGGAACUGAGACACGGUCCAGACUCCUACGGGAGGCAGCAGUAGGGAAUCUUCCGCAAUGGGCGAAAGCCUGACGGAGCAACGCCGCGUGAGUGAUGAAGGUCUUCGGAUCGUAAAACUCUGUUGUUGGGGAAGAACAUAUGUGUAAGUAACUGUGCACAUCUUGACGGUACCUAAUCAGAAAGCCACGGCUAACUACGUG